CCUACGGGCGGCAGCAGUAGGGAAUCUUUCACAAUGGGCGAAAGCCUGAUGGAGCAACGCCGCGUUCAGGAUGAAGGCCUUCGGGUUGUAAACUGCUUUUAUAAGCGAGAAAUAUGAUGGUAACUUAUGAAUAAGGAUCGGCUAACUACGUGCCAGCAGCCGCGGUCAUACGUAGGAUCCGAGCAUUAUCCGGAGUGACUGGGUGUAAAGAGUUGCGUAGGUGGCAUAAUAAGUAGCUAGUGAAAUCUGGUGGCUCAACCAUUCAGACUAUUAGCUAAACUGUUAAGCUCGAGACCGUUAGGGGUAACUGGAAUUUCUAGUGUAGGAGUGAAAUCCGUAGAUAUUAGAAGGAACACCAAUAGCGUAGGCAGGUUGCUGGGACGGUUCUGACACUAAGGCACGAAAGCGUAGGGAGCAAACGGGAUUAGAUACCCCAGUAGUC
rnacentral:rRNA from 1 species